rnacentral:lncRNA from 1 species
CGCAAGGCUUUAAUAUCAAUUUCUCAUUUCUCCUGUGAGUAACCGUUGCCAAAUAUCAUGUUCUAAAAGAUUUUAAGCUAUUUCCAACUUAAAUCAAUAAAAAAAAAUGAUUUUUGUCUCACAGGGGCAUUUUGGUCAUUUUUUCUCAAAAAUUUUGAAACCAGCUAAAAAUGUAGUAUGCGAGUAUAAAACACAUAAUUCAUAAUAAAAAAUAAGUUUAAACGUCUAAAACCUUCAUUUAAAAUGAAAUUAUGACUAUUUGAAUAUAAUAAAAAAUUCAAUAAAAUAUUCUAUUUUCUUAUAAAACAAUAUUUUUAGAGUUAUCGGUAAAUAAUUUUUGUAACGUAAAAGCUAAAUAAAUUCAUACAUACUGUAAUAUAGAUAACAAAAGUAUAAAAUUUAAUUUACAAUGACACAUGGGCCCACGAACAACCAAAAGUAUCAAAAGCGAUAAACCUAUAGUUUUUUAGGAUGCAAGUCCAACUGUAGCCCUCAACAAAGUGAGCUAUCUACCAACUAUCCUGAGCCUGAAAUGGGUGAAAAGGAGGGUGGUGAGAUUAUAUAUUCCUAGUGAGUAAACAAAUACCAUCUAAAAUAUCUAAAGCUGAGUAAAUGGAGAUAGAUAAAAUAGUUUAACAUACUGUAAUUCAUCACCUUUCAACUCAUUUCAACCAAACAAAAUCAAUUCAUAUAAAUCGAGUAAUCAACAUCGCUUAUGAAUUUCUUAAAAGCUUUGGCUCGUGCCAAAAUCAUUCUCAUACUCAGUUAUCAAGGAUACCUUGGCCGAGGGCUAUUCCAACCGAGUCCGCCAAGGCUAUUAAAAAGUUAUAUAUGCAUAAAUCAUGUUUUUAUUUUGAAAACAUAGUCGUUUCUUAGAGUUGGUUGAGUUCACCCUCAUGUAGUGGUUUGGCGUGAAGUGAACUCUAAAGUGUUAACCUUAGGAGUUAUCCAUCCCCGCCUCUCAUACUAAGGUAUGAAUAUAAUAGGGUUACCGUGCCCCCUCUAGUAGGCUGGUCCACGGAAGCCGUCCACUGCAGCGACUAAUCAAUAACCCACCAAUUCAAUAAAAUUCAACAACAUGACAUGGCAAUUUUAUCAUUAUCCAGCCUAUCAAGGCAAACAACAGUUUAUACAUUUUCAACACAAAUACCAAUUCAACCAUUCAUGCCAAUAUUAUCAUAAGCCAUUCAAUUCAAACCAUGAUUUAUAACACAACAAUUAGUCUGCAAUUACUCCAUUUUCAAAACCAUCAUUCAAUUUCAAGACAAUUUUAUAAAAUCAUUUCAUUUAAACACAUUUUGUUUAUAAAACAUAAAGAUUUACUAUUUAAACUCAUUUUCCAUAAAAUCACAAAAUCGGAUAAAAACCACUUUAGAUAAUUAAGACGAUAGUAAGGUUACUCACUAUUUCGGGAGUCAAAUUCCGAGCACUCCGAUUCUUGAUCCUCGGGUACUAUCUCUUUACUUUUGCCAGAAUGCUCACCACCUAGACAUAAUGCACAAUAAGCUAUUUACUACAUUUGUGCUAAAUUGUUAUAAAACCAAUUCAAGCUUUAUACUAAUGCAUGAAAUGGGAUGUGAAAUACUUAGGUAAUUAUCUAAAUACGAUGUUCAAUAUAAAUUCAAUUAUGUACCUAAAUAAAACGGUAUUAGCCUAAUUCGAUCUAUCACCCGAUUAAUUGGCUAAUACGUCCAAUUCAACUCCAAAUAAUUCCAUUUUUCUCCCAAUACUCCAAAUCACCAAACACAAAUUAAAUAACUUGAAAUAUAGCAAAAUCAUCUUCACAUUUUCUCUUGGAAAAUUCGACCAUCGUGAGUGCAUCAACACUAUAAUUUUUCAAGCUUGAUUCUCUCACCAUAAAUCACUAAUUCCUAACCAAAUCACUUGAAAUAAAAUCAAAAUCAUCCUCAAUAUUCCACAUGGAGAAUUCAGCCAAUGAUGGGUGAAGGAAGAACAUGAAUUUUUCUUGCUUGAUUUUCAUACUACACAUCACCAAUCAACUAAAAACACUAAAAUACAUUGAAAUCUAACCAAAUCAAGCAUCAAAACCUCUCUCUAAGUGUUCAGCUAGCAAGAUACCUAUCAUGAAAUCAUGUGAUUCAACCAUGGAAAAUGCAAAAGAAUGUAUGGGAAAGGUAGAUCACAAGUCAAAAUCAAGAAAUUUUACCUUUGAUUGCUUGAUUACUUGAAUUUCACCAAUUUUCUCUUGAAUUUUCACCCUAGGGUUCUUGUUCUUUCUUUUCUUCCUUUGUUCUUGCUUUGGCCGGCCAUAUGAAGAGAAAUG